AGCUUCAGGACACUCGGUAAUGUGUGUGAUAUGCUCCUCACACAGCACCUCCUCGGUCCUCUCAGGCUGCGACAGACCUGGUCCUGCCACCAGCAGAACGCAACAGGUACCAAAAAAGUACCCUUGAAAACAGAUGGAAGACGAGUCCCAGUAUUACCAGGGGCUUCAGUGAAGAUCAUGGCCCAUUGCACAGGAAGGAUGUGCUCACUUCCAGAAGAUCCUACGGUCUAAUUCAAGCCAGAAGGAAGGCUUGUUCCCAAGAAAUACUGAAUUUCAUGGCAUUGACUCCUGAUCCUUGGAUUGCUUCUUCAUCCCAUCUCAGACAUGUCUCCAAAGAUGCAGAGGUCAAGGAAGUGUCAUAACGUGACCAAAUUCACUGGCUGGCGUGACUUCCACAGCUAUAAUAAAUACCACAGAAUGCCAGAAGUGGAUGUAAGCUAUUAACCACACUGAGGUAGGAAAUCCAGGGAUCAGGAGUUAAGAGACUAUAUUAAACAUUUUAUUUGAGAUUCAGAUGUCUCAUGGAAGAACACAGCCUUGAAAUGAGAUCCAGACCAGCUGAUGGCUUGGAUGGGGCCAUGUCGGAUGGAGCUGUGGGCAAUCUGAUCUAGUGGGAAGGAGGUUUGAUCUCUAAGGUCCCUUCCAACCCAAACUGCUCUGUGAUUCUGUGAAGACACCACUUUGCACAUCACUGGAACCACUCUGAUUGCUCCAACAGGGAAUCUGGCACUAACAGGUGUGGUUGCAGGAAAGGAAAAUAAGUGUUUCGAGAGAUGCAUAUCCAGCAUUUUUGAUCAGAACAGAGUGAAAACAACAGAUUUCCUCUAACACACCAGCCUGAAGAGAGCUAAGUGCCUUUUGCACAAUGUUCACCAUGAAGUCUGUGGAGAGAAAUCCAGCUCAAGAGAAAUUCCACAGAAGACAAUGAUGUCCUAGUAAAGGCAAAAGGAUAGUUAAAGGAAGGUGUGUUUGAGCACUGUUGAUACAUAAUGGGACUGACAGUGUUGCACACUCAUGUGCCAGAGGCUUUUCCUCCCUACUGAGGCAGCAAAAGUAUAGUUUUAGCAUAUUCUGACAUUAAUUGAAAAUGCAUUAGUGGCUGAGAGCAAACAUUAGCUCUUGGUCUUGAGAAAUUUCCUUUGUCACAAGCAUAAUUGUAAUAAAAACUGAAACACCAAAAUAAAUGUUAGAACAUUUA